CCACAGAGAGGAAACUCCGGUUUGUGUUAAGUUUGUUCCGUCCGAGUGACUCUGUUUUCGGGGUAAAUAACUUGCUGAAGUCGACACGACGCUGUUUCCUUGGAGGAGAAGAUGAGUGCGUGUGUAAGCAGAGCCGCAGGGCCCGGUGUGGACGAGGCGAGGCGGAGAAGAGGGGCACACAGUCCCUGAGUUAAGCUGCCUGUCCAUGACGUAGUAAGACACACUAUGAGCCAGUUAGAUCCAACAAGACCUUACAUCAGCAUUGAGGAGUUCAGGAGUUGUCGGAGAAGAAAGAGGCUGAUUGAAGCGGGACAGAUGACAUGGAUCCAUCCUUCCACAGCCAGGAGCGCACCGACCUGUGUGCCACACUUCAUAUAAGACUGGAAGCUACACUGGAUCUCACAGUUACACACCACAGACGUCUACACACUGGAGAAGAUUCAGGCAGAGUCCCACAAAGAAGUCAUGACCCCGAGGCUGCAGACAGACAUUUCAAACUCCACCUGAGUUUUUCACUGGCUAGGCCAAUUGUGUUUGUACAAUAUUUGUGCUGUAUGUAAAUAAAGCUUGACUCCACAUA